GCGUCAUUAGCUCAGAGGUUAGAGCGUCCGCCUGUCGAGCGGAUGGCCACGGGUUCGAGUCCCGUAUGACGCG
rnacentral:tRNA from 1 species